GCUGUUGAAUUAUAAAGCAAUUCAUAAUCACUGCUUUUAGUUGGUGGUUGUUAAUCAAAGAAAACAUAAUCAAAUAUGCCUCCUUCUCCAAGCUCCACGAAUGUAGGAUCUGGUGGUCGUUCACCAAGCAAGGCGACUACCGCACCAAGAUCAUCCAGCGGCAGCACAGUUCGUCAGCGAAAGUCCACAACAACCACUACUGCUGCGAGGAAUCGCAGCACUGGCGCUGGAUCAGGUGGAAUGUGGCGUUUCUAUACUGAUGAUUCUCCAGCGUCAAAGUAGGACCUGUUCCAGUUUUAGUCAUGUCUCUACUCUUCAUUGCAUCAGUGUUCAUGCUUCACAUCUGGGGAAAAUACACAAGAGCGUAAACAGAACCAUAUUUAAUAUUGUCUGUUAUGAGUAUGAGUGAAAGUACUAUGUGAAUGAUAUGGAGUUGGUGUUAA